AAGAUGAGGUGCCACGCGAGGUACAUUCGUGAGGUGCGGAGUAUUCCUGUGCGGUGGUUAAAGACCCAGGGACAGUGUCUUCACUUCCAGAUGCUGUUGAAGGGAUGCUUGCCCCAGGGAGGGCCUGAGCCGCCUGCCAGCAGGUCCUCCGCAUCCCUGGAAGGAGAGCACUGCUUCCUGACAUCCAGGCGUCCCCCCAGGCGGACCGGGUCAACACUCCACGAUUGAGUCCAUAUGAUUUUUGAGUCCAUCUUGUAACCACGUGACAGUACUCUGUAUGACCUUUAAGCAGCCAUGACUGAGUGGACAGGAGGAAGUCAAGAGCUGACAGGUGCCACUCAGGAAGUGUCUGCACAUAACUGAGUCUCUCAGGACUGACUGGUGGUCUGACCUGGUUACAGCUCUGGACCCAGUGACCCAAGUUGAGCUCCAAUGAACUUGCAGCAACCUGAGCGGAACUGACACUAACCUCAAGACUUCCCCGAAGAAGCGGUGCUUCCUUGGUUGUGGAUUUAAAAAAAU